GAUGGAGUGGGGCUGGUAACCUAGGAAGGGGCAAGGGUCACUACAAUGUUAAUUGGUGUCUGCAGAUCAGACCCAUUUUUCUAUAGUGAAUAAUUUAAAAACAAUGUCAUUCAUUAAAUGAACCAAUGCCCUUGACUUCUUAAAAGAGGUGAAGGGAAUUAAUCACAGUAAGUUCUCUGAACAUAAAAAUUAACUAAGUUUAUAGUGCUGGAACUGAUGUGUGUGCGAUAACAGUACAUUAUAUUUGAAAGGAUGACCAGAAGACAGCAGCAGGAAUUAAACUAAAGCCAAGAAACUGAGCACAGCUCCUUGGACAAAUCUUAAUCUUGGCUGAUGCCAUAUCUGGUGGGGGUGAGCUGAAGUGUACUUCACUGUGCAUAGAGAGAGAAACCUGCUUUUGAAACUCCUUCCAGAAGCAUACUAUCUUUUCAUUUUUCCACCACAAAGAGAGCUCCCAGAUGAUUAUGCACUCUUCUGCCCAGUGAACAAAAGGAAGCAUAAUCUGGACUAACUACAGUAUCUGAAAUUUGGGAGGAAAGAAUAAAAGACAGAAAAAUGAAAAAGAAGAGGAAGAGAAGGAAGAAGAGAGGAAGGACAUGUUUGCU
rnacentral:lncRNA from 1 species